CGCGGUGCGGAGCGGCGGGAGGAGGCGGCGGCGGCGGCGCGCACGGCCGCGCUGGGGGCGGCUCGGUGAGGAGGAGGAGGAGGGCCGGGCCCCUCAGUGAGGAGAGAUGAUGAAGGAGCCUUUCAGAGGUUUUGGCCUCCCGCCAUUCCCACCUGCUGCCUUCUACCUGCACCCCAAUUUCCUUGGAUUGGGGGAGAUGCUGCCACUCUCUGAACUGAUCAUGGAAUUCUGGAGGGUUUAACAUUACUUUUGGCUCUUCCCAAGAAUUCCCUGCUCCAGGAACAUCCCCACAGUCACAGUGGGGUUGUCUUCAAGGAGGUGCAGACCCAAAGUGUCGCUCCAUCAUCCAGAGAGGGAUUCUUUUGAAGCACUCUGGUGGAGUUUUCCCUUCCCCAGCACAGCCCUGGGAUUCAUUUCCCCACCCAGCUCCACAUCCAGCUGGAGCUCCUGCCAAUCCAAACAUCCUCCAUCCGCUGCCAUCCUGCAAAGCAUCACUCCAUCAUCCCCCUCCCCUCUACACCAGCCUUUCCCUUGGAUAUGGAGAAAAAAGUGGGGUAAAAAUGGCAGAGUGCUUGGGACCAAGUGGAUUCCAGCCUCCUCACCUUCACAGCUCUUGCCGUCGCCCAGCAGGACGUAUCCGGCGGGGCAGGAGCAGUGGAAGGAGCCGGGAAUGUUGACACAGGCGUGGGCACAGAGCCGGGGUCCCCCUUGCUGCUGGUACACCUCGCACUCGUUAAGGAGCUCCAGCCCUGUCCCACUUCCACAUGACAAAAGAAGAGGAAAACAGCUGUCUUGUGAGCUCUGCCGGGGCCAGGAACGCUGGUGGGACUCCUGCCUGCAAACCGAUCGCUCCCACGGGACUGACUCAUGCCGGAGACGGGCACCGUUAUUAUGGGAUUCCUGCGGAAUUGACUUCAAACCGAGGAAAAAGAGCAAAGCCGUUCCCAGAGCUCAGAAAUCUGGGGAGCGCAGUGGGGAGAAAGCGCACAGGGACUGGCCUGGGGGCUAUGGAAUUCCGGGAAAGCGAGCGGAGGUGGUGGCCUCUGUCCCACCUGGUCGAAGGGAUUUCUUCCCCCCUUUCCAUAACCGCACUGUGGAAUGAUUCCCGUUUCCAAAGAGCUGCUGAGGGUUGAGAGAAGACAGACACAGCAGCCCAAGCAAUGCGCUCGGUGUCUUCUGCUUCCCCGGGAGCCGGUUCGGGGGUCCCGGGCUGGCGGGGGGGAUGAGCCGGGCUGUGCUGGCAGCUCUGGGAUACCCCGAGCCCAGAGGAAGGGAGGCAAAAGCAAAUAGAUGCUGGCGCGUCGCUGGCUUUAAUAAACAGCUCUUUGUUAGGGCUGGGUUUAA